rnacentral:rRNA from 1 species
CUGCUGCCUCCCGUAGGAGUUUGGGCCGUGUCUCAGUCCCAAUGUGGCCGUCCGCCCUCUCAGGCCGGCUACUGAUCGUCGCUUUGGUAGGCCGUUACCCUGCCAACUGGCUAAUCAGACGCGGGUCCAUCGUAUACCACCUCGGUUUUUCACACUGUCCCAUGCGGAACCGUGCGCUUAUGCGGUAUUAGCACCUAUUUCUAAGUGUUAUCCCCCUGUAUACGGCAGGCUACCCACGCGUUACUCACCCGUCCGCCACUAAGUUA